rnacentral:lncRNA from 1 species
GUCUCCAACUCCUGGAUCAAGUGAUCCACCCACCUUGGCCUCCCAAAGGGCUGGGAUUACAGGCGUGAGCCACCACGCCCGGCCAGGCUGAGUUUUUCUCCAGCGGUUCAUCGAGUCCUCUGACAAAGCAAGGAGCCGAUAUAGGGCCAGUGGGACGGUCGCCAGUCAAGGGGCUGGGCUUGGUGGAAAGAUUAAUACUCACUGGACGUCCAGUCGAAACGCCCUGAAACCUAUGAUGCUGUCGACCAAACGAAGGCCUGGAAUACCAAAAUAGCCACAUAGGUACUUGCUGGACUUGAAACAGAUGGAAGGUGAGCUCUGCCUAGGACACGCCCAGCCUCAGCUGGAGGAGAAGCUGCCUCUUUCUCAGCCUGAGCCCCCUGCUGGCUCUGUAGGACUCAGGUCACUCCUUUUUGGCCCCUCCCCUGUUCUCCCCCGGCCUCCUGGGGUGCAGAGCCACCCUGAGAUGGGGUCCUGCCCUCUCCCGCCAUCUUUUCACCCCCUCUCUAGCCCUGGUCUAGGUGAGCUCCUGCCUGGUCCUGCCUCCUGGGUAAUGUAUCAGCCUCGCCCACUGUCUGCGGCUGCCUCUCUGGGCCCCUGGGACAGACCCCACUGUGUCCAGUUCAGGGCUGACCCUGCAGGAAUGAACUGGGGUCUGGUCUUGUGAUUCCAGAAAGCCAGGCUGCUGACGUCCCCAUCCACCAGCCCAGCCUGUGUCUUGCAGCCAUUGUAUUAGUCACAGGCUCGUGCCCUAUAGUCAGACCUCAUGCUUUCUUUUGGAGUUCGGGGUGUUGGUUGGAAAUAGUGGGGGCUAUAGGAGGAAGGAGGAUGGUUACACGGAAGGGCAUGAGAAGCUGGGGACCUGCAGGUCUCAGUCCCACAUUCUUUUUUUUUUUUUUAAGAUGGAGUCUCGCUCUGUCACCAGGCUGGAGUGCAGUGGCACAAUCUCAGCUCACUGCAACCUCGACCUCCUGGGUUCAAGCGAUUCUCCUGGCUCAGCCCCCCGACAUUUUUUAAAAUUUAUUUAUUUUCUUAGAGAUGGGGUCUUGCCAUGUUGCCCAGUUGGUCUCAAACCCCUGGGCUAAGAUAAUCCUCCCACCUC